UGAGGAAUAUUGGUCAAUGGACGGAAGUCUGAACCAGCCAUGCCGCGUGAAGGAAUAAGGCCCUAUGGGUCGUAAACUUCUUUUGUGGUGGAGCAAUAAGAUCUACGCGUAGGUCGAUGAGAGUACAUCACGAAUAAGCAUCGGCUAACUCCGUGCCAGCAGCCGCGGUAAUACGGAGGAUGCGAGCGUUAUCCGGAUUCAUUGGGUUUAAAGGGUGCGUAGGUGGCCUUUUAAGUCAGCGGUGAAAGUUUGUGGCUCAACCAUAAAAUUGCCGUUGAAACUGGAGGGCUUGAGUAUGUUUGGGGCAGGCGGAAUGUGUGGUGUAGCGGUGAAAUGCAUAGAUAUCACGCAGAACUCCAAUCGCGAAGGCAGCUUGCCAAGCCAUAACUGACACUGAAGCACGAAAGUGUGGGUAUC
rnacentral:rRNA from 1 species